UACGUAGGGUGCAAGCGUUAAUCGGAAUUACUGGGCGUAAAGCGUGCGCAGGCGGUGAUGUAAGACAGAUGUGAAAUCCCCGGGCUUAACCUGGGAACUGCGUUUGUGACUGGAAGGCUAGAGUAUGGCAGAGGGGGGGUGGAAUUCCACGUGUAGCAGUGAAAUGCGUAGAGAUGUGGAGGAACACCAAUGGCGAAGGCAGCUCGCUGGGACGGUACUGACGCUGAGACGCGAAAGCGUGGGGAGCAAACAGG
rnacentral:rRNA from 1 species